CACAUGAACAUCCCGCUCUUGCAGCUGCUGAGGAGGUUGAUCUCCUGGGCUUGGCUGGAGGAGGUGGCACCUGUGUUGAGUAAUUGCUGAAAUCCAAUCGAUCUGGGAUGACCCCAAAUGACAGUUUAGUUUUCAGCUUGCUCGAGCUGUAUCUCAGCAGCUUUUGGGUAUCAUUUUUGGCCCCCAGACAGGACACCUCUGCCUGAUCUCCCGCGGAUCCGAGGGAUCUCUGGAUCUUCACGCCAGCACCAGGACUUUGCUGCAGAAGAGCACAGAUCCCCAGCCCAGUCUGGGACACAGAACGUGUGAAAGGGCAGAAAGAUUGUGGUGUGAAUGCAGCGCCCUCAGAGCCCUUGGUGUGAGCCCGGAAAGGAAAAUCAAGCUGAGGGACAAGAUCAGUCUAAUUUGGGGACAUUGUUGGAGGUUGGAGUUGCAGUUCUGGAAGAAAUCCCUGAGGAAAUGGUGCCCCGGGGAGAGGAAGAGGAUGAGAGCGUGGGCAGCCUGCUUCAAACAUCCCCCCAGGAGACUUGGGAUCAGUCCCUGUGCAUCCUGUAAGAAAGAUGGACACUGGAAAUGGGAUUGUCCGCAACUGAAACUUCAGAACCCUCCGAACCCUCUCGUGGCAUCACUGAAGACGACUGAGGGGGCACCAGAGGAUUCUUCCCCAUCAGAACAUCUGGUUCCAGCCAAGCUAAGCACAAUUGUUUGUGGCUGUGGGAACUUGUUCCUCUGUGUUAAAUCCAGGGAAAUGAAACUCAAGGGACAAUUCUAGAACAAUUGUCUGGUGUGCCAGGGAAUUGGGAAACUGGGCCAUUUUUAAUGCUGUGGCUUUGAAAUUGGGAAAACAGUGGUUGGCUCCCCAGUUUUUGUAUUUCCCCAAUUCCCCAAAGCCUCUGCUUGGGAGAGAUCUCUUGGCAAAAUGAAAUGCCACAAUCCAAUUGAAAAAUGGUCCAAUAUAGCUUAUUAUUGCAGAGCCUAAUUCUGUGGAAGUUUCUAGUUUUGCAUGAGAGUCUCCCAAAGCAGAAGUAAUCCAUCUGCCACCAUCACUUGGGGAUGCAGUGGUUCCAACAGGAUGGGCUGGAGAGGUGCCUCCAUGAUCCAAGAGAGCAGAACCCGUGAGAAUUCCAGAGAAACCUGGAGUGGGGUUGGUGAGGCCAAAGCAAUGUCCUUUGCAAAUAGAAAGUUGUAAGGGAUUCUCACCCUUUGUAGAACAAUUGAUGAAAUUUUGCUUGUGAAAAGAAGGUGAAUCUAAAUGGAAUGCUCCAGUUUUGCCAGUCAAGCAGGCAAAUGGAAGGCUAUGCCAGUUAGUCCAAGACCUUAGAGCUGUAAAGAACAGAGUAGAAGAUAUACAAGCAGUCAUAGUGAAUCCUUACACUUUGCUAACUCCCCUAAAUGAGGGUUUAAUAUGUUUCACAGCAUUAGGUUUGAAAACUGCCUUUUUGUGUCUCCCUUUGAGUUGGGAAAGUCAAGAGCUUUUUGCUUUCCAAUGGGAAAAUGCAAAGCUGGGGAGGAAAACCCAUCUGACUUUGGUGGUCCUCUUGCAGGGGUUUAAAAAUAGCCCCCCAAUAUCUGGAACUCAAUUGGCAAAGGGACUGGAGGAAUGGAGAAGUCCAAACCCACCCUCUUGGAGCCUUAUUGCAGUGUGGGGAUGAUCUUUUGAUGCCACUGAUGCUGAGCAGCAACGUUGGGGUCAGACUGUGGCCCUGUGGAAUUUCCUUGGGCUGAGUGGAUAUGGGGUAUCCCAAACACAAAGUGCAAGUAGUCCAGAGCCCAGGAGCCUCCGUGGGCUUUGGAAUUCUCCAAGGACAAGGGAGGCUGGGCCAGGAAGGAAAGAAGCAACCUGUCAACUGCCCCAGCCCCAGCAAAGGAAGCCCAGAGCGGGAUUGCUUCCAGACUAGAGGAGAAGUGUAUUGGCAGAGCUGACUUAGGAGACAGCCCCUUGGAAAGUCCUGGUUGGGAAUUGUUUCCCAGUGGGGGCAGCUUUGUCCGGCAUGGAAAACAAUUCUCUGGAUGCACAGAACUCCCCACCACCAGGUCAGAGAUCCUGACAGAGAUCCUUCUCCCAGUAGAAGAAAAUGAGUCUAGUGCUAAGGAUUGUCAACUCCUUGAAACCUUAGAGCAAACUUUGCUCCAGGAGGCUGGGCAGUUCCCCCAAGUGGGCAAAUAAUAGUCCCUGAGCCAAUCUCCUGUGACCUGGUGGAUGGGGAACAUGAGGGGAUUCCUUGGAGUGAAGCAAAUUAUUGAAACAUUUGCCCAAGUGGGUUCUUGGUCCAAAACUGACCCCAGUUGUACAAGCAGUGAGUCAGCAGUGUGGUGUGUGGAAGAGAAAUAAUCCAAACCCUGCCACUGGAGUGGGAACAGGUGAUGGAAAAUGCAGAAAUGCUGCAGGUGAAUGUUGGCAGAUGGAUGUGACUGAAUUGCCCAGACAAGGGGGGUGUAAAGAUCUCCUGGUCUUGGGGGAUACCUUCUCUGGGUGGCCAGAGGCUGUUCCUUGUUGCACUAAGCAGGUUGGGAAAGAGACUGCAAUCCUGUUCAGUGCAAUCCUCCCUGUAUUUGGGAUGCCUUUGGGAAUGUCAUCAGACAGAGGUUCCCACUUGACUGCAGAAACAAAAUGCUUCACUCUUGUUUUGCUCUUCUGACAACAGUUCAAACACUGUUGACGUGGGAGGAAAAUUUACAUGUCUUUUUAGUGCCAAAGGUGAUCCAAGUGUUGCCCACAAGUGUCUGUAUUAAGUAAGCAAGACUCUGUAAGGAAUCUGGAAACUGUGUGUGUAAUGUAAAGCCCUGUGUGGCUGUCACUGAAGUGCUGAGGCUGAACAACAGCCCCUGAGCCAAAGCUGAGCUCUAGAUGAACCUUCCAACCUAAUGGGCUGUGUCUCCAUGUAUCUGCUCCUGAGCUAAAACUGGGUCUAUUUGUUGGUACAAAUGUGGUGGGAUGGGACUCCACCUGUGUAUCUGCUCCUGAACCAAACAGGUGUGCUUCUUAGGAAGAUCUGUUAGUCUGGGCUCAUCAGUGAAUCCUGUUUGUAUCUGUUCCUUAACAAAAGAUGUCUGAUUGUGAGCAAAAUCUGAUCUUUCUGUAUCUGGAGAGUGGUGGAGGCCAUGGCAGUCGAUGUCUGGCCUUGUUUGGCAGUGGCUGGUGCAGGGGGAGCCUUGGUUUGGGAGAAGUAGAACAUUGCUCCCAAGAUUCUGCUCUGGCCAAAUAAGGAACAACAGAAUCUUAGAGAAGUCCUGGAGAAUUGGAUCAGGGCUGGAACUCAAGCAAACAGGAUGUGAGCUGAGCUCUGGGGACCCAGAGAAGAUCAAACCAAACAUGACGGUCUCUGUGGGGAAAAGCAGUGAUGCUGAGAACCGAGGUCAAGAAGCAGACACCUGAGCUUUGGGGGGCACCAGAUGCCAAAAAACCCACCAGAGACCCCCAGAGAAGACCCCAAAUGACCAAGUAGGGACUUGCAAUAGGGGUGUGACUGUGUAAAGCACAGUAAUGGACAUGUGUUCAGUAAGGGGGAAUAUCCAAUGCCUCUGGAAUCAGUGUGUGUAAUCCCAAGCCCUGCCUGUGUCCCUGAGCAGGCUGGAUUAGAAGAACUCUCCUGCAGGCGUCCAGCACGCUGCCCUAAAGAAUGCCUGCUUCUUAACACCUCCCAGCUGGGGUUAAGGACUUGCUUUCUGCUGCUUUUGGGCACCAUUUCUGGCCCCAGAUGGGACCCUCUGCCUGAUCUCCCGUGGAUCCGAGGGAUCUCUGGAUCUUCACGCCGGCCCCAGGACUUUCCUGGAGAAGACCACAGAUCCCUGGACUGGUCUGGGAUGGGGGAAGAUCCCAUUGGAUAAUAAGGCAUUCUUUUGGGGAAUCCUGUCCCUCUAAGACAUGUGGAUCUUCCAGCUCUUUGGGUGGGUUAUUUGGUGUUCCCCCAUUUGGUCUCUGGCUUUGUUUUCUCCACUGAUCCUUGUUUUGUGUUUGUAUUUGUUUCUGCACUGUAACAUUUGUCCAAGUGGGUUCUUGGUCCAAAACUGACCCCAGCUGUACAAGCAGUGAGUCAGCAGUGUGGUGUGUGGAAGAGAAAUAAUCCAAACCCUGCCACUGGAGUGGGAACAGGUGAUGGAAAAUGUAGAAAUGCUGCAGGUGAAUGUUGGCAGAUGGAUGUGACUGAAUUGCCCAGAAAAUGGGGGUGUAAAGAUCUCCUGGUCUUGGGGGAUACCUUCUCUGGGUGGCCAGAGGCUGUUCCUUGUCACACCAACUGGGCUGGGGAAGUGAGUGGAAUACUGUUGAAUCCAAGAAUCCCUGGAUUCGAGGUACAUUUGGGAAUGUCAUCAGACAGAGGAGCUCACUUGAUUGUAGAAGUGGUACAGCAAGUCAAAUCAGGGAUGCAUUAUUGCAGAAUUCCAAAGGCCAGAGCCCCUUGGGUAACUGAGAGGUUGUCUGAGAAGAAACCAAAUGCUUAAGUCUGCUUUGGCUCUCCUGACAAUAGUUAAUUGGGUCUUGACUUGGGAGCAAAAUUUACAUCUCCUUUUAGUCUCAAACGUGACCCAAGUGUUGCCUCCAAGGGAUUGCUGGGUGUGCACUCCUUUACCUGAAAAGACAAGGAAGCCAUUCACCAUUUCUGCCUUCCCUGUUCUGGCAGAAAUGAUUCCUGGUCACUGGGUGAGCACUUGUGUUCCCCAAAAAGUAGACCAGCAGUCAGUGUGCAAGUACCCCCCACCACCUCUGACAAUCCUGCCUGUGUCCAAAGCUGUAACCCCCACUAAAGGAACAGGACAAGUGGAUUGUGUUAAUGAGAGUGGCCCGUUUGUGGGAAAUCACCCCAAUGUCCUCAAACCCUUCCUGCUGGGGAAAUGACUGAUCCUUGGCCGGUCCCCAAAGGAACGGGGUGGGAUUGGUGUGUGGAAAUAACACCUGGGAAGGGUUGCCCCAAAGCUGGAAGGGCAUUUGUAUUUCAGCUUGCAUCAGGAUUCAGUGCUGUAGCUGUUCUAAUGCCUUGAGCUGUAAAAUGAAAUAAAGCUCCUAAGACACUCCAUCCCUUCAGGAGCUUAGUCUGAAAAAAGGGGGAUUUGAUGUGGGAUAUAGAAGACUGCUCCCAACAUUUCUCUAUGGCCAAGGAAGGAGAACUGUAAUCUUGGAGAGGUCCUGGAGAACUGGAUCAGGGAUGUAACUAAGCAAACAGGAUGGAAGCUGAGCUCUGUGGGCCCAGAGAAGAUCAAACCCAAACGUUCCAGUCUUUGUGGUGAAAGGUAAUGACACUGUGUCUGCUCAGAACCGAGGUCAAGAAGUGGACACCUCAACUUUGGGGGGCACCAGAUGCCAAAAAACCCACCAGAGAGCCCUGAAGGAGACCCCAAAGGACCAACUAAGGACUUGCAAUAGGGGGGGUGAUUGUGUAAAGCAAAGUAACAUCUAUGUCUUAAGUAAGGGAGAAUAUCUAAUGAAUCUGGAAACUGUGUGUGUCAUGUAAAGCCCUGUGUGGCUGUCACUGAAGUGCUGAGGCUGAACAACAGGCCCUGAGCCAAAGCUGAGCUCUAGAUGAACCUUCCAACCUAACAGUCUGUUUAUCCCUGUAUUUGCUCCUUAGCUAAAACUGUGUAUGUUUGUUGGUCAAAGAUGUAGUGUGGAAAGACUCCCCAUGUACCUGCCCCUGAACAAAAUAAAUGUGCUUAUUAGUGAGA